CCACCAAAGAGGCAGGAUGUAACUUGCCCGGCUGAGAAAGGUGAGACCUAGUUGUGGAGCUCGGGCUAGCCUGCAAGUGCUGGAAUUGCAAGUAGGAGCUGGAAUCACAGACACACAUUUCUCAAGAGGUGUGAUGGAGCCCAUUCAACCAUGAAUGGUCCAAUCAACACCUGUCUGUAAUAUGAAGAGGAACAACUACAACAGCAGUGAACUCUUCUCUAGGCCUGUCAUUACUUUAC